GAGCUUUAAGGAAACAAAAUGAUUUGCUCUUCAUGUUCCAAUGCCCCUUCACUUUGUGACUUGUCUUCUCCCAAAACAAUUACUUUUCUCUAGGGAAGAUGUCAAGUAGUGCACAUAUAUAUAUAUGUAUACCUGCCAAUUAUGAGAUCAAAGAACUUAUGGUGCAACCUGGAUUUUCAUAUUGAUGAAUUAGGCAGAGGUUUUUAGUGUUGUACCCUUGUAAAACAAUGUACAUAUAUACUUCAAAGUA
rnacentral:lncRNA from 1 species